rnacentral:rRNA from 1 species
UACGUAGGGGGCCAGCGUUGUCCGGAAUCAUUGGGCGUAAAGCGCACGUAGGCGGCUUGGUAUGUCGGGUGUGAAAUCCCCGGGCUCAACCUGGGAACUGCAUCCGAAACUGCCUUGCUCGAGUAUGGGAGAGGGAAGUGGAAUUUCCGGUGUAGCGGUGAAAUGCGUAGAUAUCGGAAGGAACAUCAGUGGCGAAGGCGACUUCCUGGACCAAUACUGACGCUCAGGUGCGAAAGCGUGGGGAGCAAACAGG